GACAGGGUCUUGCUCUGUUGCCCAGGCAGAAGCACAGUGAUGUGAUCAUGGCUCACUGCAGCCUCAACCUCCUGAGCUCAAGUGAUCCUUCCAUCUCAGCCUCCCAAGUAACUGGGACCACAGGCAGAUGCCACCAUGCCCAGUGACUCCGUUCACAUGCUCCCGUCUUGUCAUCAAGCCCUGUUCAUCUCUCACCAUCUCUCACCUGGACCAUUGCCAGUUUCUGAGCUGCCUGCUCUUGAAUACCAGCUUCCUGAAAAUAUCACCAAAACGAUCUGGUCCUCAGACAAAGCAGAGUCUAUUGCUCACUGCAGUAACAGAGAGCUCCGUCUUCAGAGUCUUGGUAACAUUUCGCUGAGAGGACAACCCAAUCACACUGUUUAGGAGAUUUUGGAUUCUGACUAAGGUGCCUGGAGCAAAAAUGUGUCCAGAAUUGGUGGGUUGUUGGUCUCGCUGACCUCAAGAACGGAGCCGUGGACCCUCGCGGGACAAGGGGAGUCAGAGGCAGAAGAGAAGGUGUUGUGAUGACAGAAGCAGAGAUCUGAGUGACUCACUUUGAAGAUGGAGGAAGAGGUCACAGGCCAAGUGAUACAGAUGCCAGGAGAAGCUGAAAACAGGAGGAAAUGGAUUCUUCCCUCAGAGCUUCUGGAAAAGAUCAGUCUUGCUGAUAACUUGACUUUAGCCCACUGAAACUGAUUUUGAACUUUUGACUUCCAGAACUACAGGGUCUCAUUAUUGUUGCCCAGACUCAUCUCAAACUCCUGGCUCAAAUGAUCCUCCCACCUCAGCCUCCUGUAUAGCUGGGAUUACAGGUGCAUGCCACCAUGUCCAGCUUUACUAAAUAAAUGGUCACAUAUCCAUCUCUGAGUCUGUCACUGGGAGAAUGGGAUGCUUUUUUGGACCAGGCCUGACUUACAUACCCAUCUGGGACAAUAGGACUUUCUAUGGGGACAACUUCAUCUGUACAUGGACAGAGACUGAAGAAUGGAGGCUGGAGUGCAGUGGUGCAAUCAUGGCUCACUACAACCCCGACCUCCUGGGCUCAAGCCAUCCUCCUGCCUCAGCCUCUCAAGUAGCUGGGACUACAGGUGCGUGCCACCAUGCCUAGCUAAUUUUUAAAUUUUUUUGUAGAGACAAGGUCUCACCAUCUUGCCCAGGCUGGUCUUGAACUCCUGAGCUCAAGUGUUCCUCCUGCAUCAGCCACCCAAAAUGUUGGAAUUACAGGUGUGAACCACCGUGCCUGGCCUACAAUUUUUGAAUACAUAUUUUGAGGAAAAAUUAAAAUUAGAAACGUAGCAAGAGUUUCUUUACGUACUUCCUUUACUUAUAUCCUAAGUGAUAUUCAAUUUCAAAGUCAUUCUAGUUGUCAAAAGAUAUUUCUUCAGCAAAUACUGCUAUGACAGUUACUCUUGAUUUCUUAGAUCAUUUUUCACUGAAGAGAACAGAAAAGGUAAGGGAGGAUGAAAGCUGUACCUGGACUAUAAGGAAAGUAAAUAUUAUCGAGGGCUGAAUUUAUUGUUCAUUUUCUUUCCUGCUUGAUCAAUGCUCCUUUCCUGGUAUCAUGUUCUCCAAACUUCAGGUGAAUGGAUCAACCUUUUCCCUAUUCUCGGUUUGGAGAAAGUGUUUUCCUGGGUUAUAUUUUUCAUUUAUAAGAUAUCCCCACCUAUUGAAGGUGGGGGAUUGGGAUGAGGCUAUUUUUGCUUCAGAACUCAUUGGCCAUUCCAUUGUUCCUCAAGAGUGGCUCCACCAUGCAAAGUGAGGGCUGGCUGGUUCUGGAGCUGGUUUUUCUCGGGCCCUACCGUGCCCUCUACACCUCACCUGUGUGCCCCGCUGAGAGCCUGCUUAGGCUUCAAGGCCAACUCAGAUGCCCUAACUGGAAAUCUCUUGAUCUUGCCUGGUAUUUAAUUCCACUUCUUUUUGAAAACUAAUUUUCCUUUGCAGAAACACCACUCCCCUACCUCAGUCACUAUGGCUUGGUUGGGGCUGAUUCCCUUCUCUCUCUCCAAGGGUAAACAUACGACCCAGGCCCAACUAAGCCUGCAUAAUCCACCCCUUCAGUUACAGUGGUUGGCUCAUAGACAGGCAACUAAGCCGGUCCAGUGACAUGCAGCCCUGGGUCUUCUGCUGGGAUUAAUGGGAAGGAGGUGACCCUUUCCAGUAGGCUGAAUCCCAGUUUGUGUGAUUUCAAAGACAAUGAGGUAGUACAGAAAUUGUCUCAUCAGCUCGGGGAAGUGAGAAUUUACUAACCCCCUCCUCAGGGAUUGGAGGGGGCACAGAGAAAUGAUGGUGGGAGUUUGUAGUCUGAGAUUGAAACCAGGCUUUGAAUAAUCUGAGUUGUGCUAGUUGAAGUCAUGGAGAAAUAGCAGAAAAGCCUCCGUCUGAACAUUGAGAAACACCUUGAGAAAACAGAGGAGCUCAAAGAGGAACUUGCAGAAGGCACCAGGGGUAUGGUGGGCACAGUUUCCAGGCAGCCUUCAAUCAUCCCUAUCUCCUGAUAGUUACACCCUGUGUCCUACUCUCCUUUUGAGUGUGGCUAGAUCUAGUGACUGACUUCUUUUAAUUUUUUUUUUUUUUUUUGAAUUUUUACUUUUUGGAGAUAGGGUCUUGCUCUGUCACCCAGGCUGGAGUGCAGUGGGGCAAUCAUGGCUCACUGCAGCCUUGACCUCCCAGGCUCAAGAGAUUCUCCUACCUCAGCCUCCUGAGUAGCUGGGACCACAGGCAAGUGCCAUCUCACCUGGCUAAUUUUUAUAUUUUUUGUGGAGACAGGGUCUUGCCAUGUUUCCCAGGCUGGUUUCAAGCUCCUGAGCUCAAGCUAUCCACUUGCCUCAGCCUCCCAAAUUGCUGAGAUUAGAAGAAUGAGCCACUGUGCCUGUGACUUACUUCUAACCCACAGAAUAGAGCAACAGUGAGAGGAUGUCAAUUCUGUGAUAGAUUGCAAAAUAUUGUAAGUUCCUAGCAGUCUUUCUCAUUGGUUUCAAUAAAAAAAAGCUGCUGUGCUGGAGGGACCCAUGAGGCAAAGAACUGAGAGCAGCCUUUAGCUAACAGCCGGCAAGGAAUGAGGUGCUUGGUCCAGCAAUCACAGAGAAACUGAAUCCUGCUGAUGAUCAUGAGGGUGAGCUUGGAAGCAGAUUCUGUCCCAGAUGAACUUUGAUUGUGUCUUGUUAGAAACCCUGGACCAACUCCUUGAUUGCACCUGUGAGAGGCCCUGAAGCGGAGGGCCCAGCUAAGGUGUGUCUGGAUUUCUGACCCACAGAAACUGAGAUCAUAAAUGUGUGGUUUUAAGCCCUACUCCAGCACUUUCACAGUCAUUUACGGCAUCUGCAGAGCAGUGAAAAAUUUGAAUUGCCUGAGAUACAUGCUCCCUGCUGAAGUCGCACAAGGUAAGGCUCUGUCUUCUUGUUUCAGCUCUCAGCAACAAGUAUCCUCUUCACAGUCCAUGUAGUUUCCUGUAUUUGUGUUUUUGUUUUUUGCAUUGUUGCGCUUUUUGUUGAUUUUACUGUUUAAAAUGGCCCCCAAGCUAGUGGGGGCUAUUUGGUAUUCCUAAUGCAAGGAGGCUGUGAUGUGCCUUAUGGAGAAAAUACCUGUUGCAGAAGCUUCAUUCAGGCGUGAGUUAUGUUCAGGCUGUUGGCUGUGAAUUCAGUGUUAUCAAGUGAAC
rnacentral:lncRNA from 1 species